rnacentral:lncRNA from 1 species
AAAAAAAAAAAAAAAAAAAAAAAAAAAGAGCUUUUUAACCUGCCGGCGGCCAGCGAGAGCGAUAAGAGCGAUUCUGAAAGCUGCACGAGCCGCCCUGGCUCCCGAAGCCGUGCUGCCCACGCCGCGUUCCUGCCUGGAUCUGGCUCGUCUGGAUGGACCGGGCCGCUCACGCAGUCGGAGCAGCCUCAUUCCCGAAAACGUCUCCCUUCGGCAGGCUGGGAACGCGUAACCUGCCGGUCCGGAUAGGCACGUGGGCUGGCGAGGACGGCUCGCUUCGGUGCGUUGCGAUGGGGCCAAGCCACGGUGGAGAAGAGCCGGUCCUGUCCUUGACGUGGCUUUGGGUGGAGAAGGCAGCGAGGUGGUCGCGAGCGGCAGCGCAUGCCGGACCUGCCCGAUUCCAGGUCCUCUUAGUUGUACGUAGAAAGCCCCCGCGACGUCCCGUUCUGCUUCGGAUCUGCUGGUGGUGGCGAGAAUGGUGCUCGGAAAGGUGCACGUUGGAAAGCAUCCGGCCCCGAG